CCUUCAUUCUCUUUAUUUGUAUUACAAAAUCAUAUCAUACCCAAAAUAUUAACAUCAUUGUUUUUAAAUUUGAUUAAAUAAAGAUCUAAAAAACCCUAGCUUUUUUUUUUUCUUUAUUUGAGAAGUAAUGGAGGGAGAAGAAAUAGAAUAUAGUUAAUAGACCCGUUUCCCCAAUCAUAUGGAGCAGCACAACCAAACACAGAACCAGAGCCACCACCUAACCCAUACCCACAGCCCAACAUGGGGUACCUGGGAGGAGCUCCUCUUAGCAUGCGCCGUCAAACGCCACGGUUUCAAGAACUGGGAUUCUGUCGCCAUGGAAGUCCAAACCAAAAGCUCCCUCCCCCACCUUCUCACCACCGCCGAGAACUGCCAGCAAAAAUACCAUGACCUCCACCGACGCUUCACCACCACCG
rnacentral:misc_RNA from 1 species